rnacentral:ncRNA from 1 species
AACGUUGAGUUAAAGUGCCAAACUUUCCGCUCAUGAGACCCCAUGAAAGGCGUUGGUUGAUAUAGACAGCAGGACGGUGGCCAUGGAAGUUGGAAACCGCUAAGGAGUGUGUAACAACUCACCUGCCAAAUCAAC